GCUGGAAAAGACUGGGCUGACAUUUUGGUUGAAACGAUUCAGAGAAGAUUAGCAUGGCCCCUGCAUUAGGAUGACACGCUAAUUUGUGAAGCAUUCCAUAUUAAA